AGUAAGGACAAAGGAAAGUUGAACUUCAGAUUUUGGAUUUAAAAGAUGUAGGUUCAAACAGUAGUCUAUAAAAACUUUACUGACCACAAUACUUUACAAGCUGGUGAUGGGAAAAACCUGGGAAUACACAUUACCCAUCAGUACCUGCCAAGAUCCCAGCAUGCCUAGCAGCUAACCCAUAAAUCCAUUGGUUCCAGGGGCAUGGCCAGGGCAGGAGGGGGAGGGACAUGUCAACAUGGGGCAUGUGGGGGAGAUGGGCUGUCUGCUUGUACAUCUACCAGUGGGGGGACUGGGGAGGCAGUUUGUACCCAGGGAGACCAUCAGUUGACAGUUGUUACUGGGCUGGACUGCUUUGUACUGCCAUUUUCUCUGACAUGUUUCAGGACCAGUAGGAAGCUGCCAAAAGGCACAGAGGCAUGCUGGGGGACGGCUUGGUUUAACUUAGUUCCAGUCUGCUGGAUGUGCAAGGCAAACAUGGCGCAGCAGUCCCGGACCCCAGGAAAACAUGACACUGACCUUGUGUUUCUGGGUCACCUCAAUGUUGUGGACUUGUAUUAACUUUAAUAAUCCACCGUCCAGUGUUAUUACUGCGCUUGUUUGAACUGAGGCUGAAGUGAUGAUUGAAGCCAUUUCUGUGUGUUUUGCAAUGAACCUUGAUUCACACUCUCUUUCUAUUACCUUGGCUCAGGGAAGAACCAGAAGUGAUUAUAAUGAAACUUGAAUGAACUUUAGAAAUACUCUACACACACCUUGAAGGUGGUGACAAAAUACA